rnacentral:misc_RNA from 1 species
UUCCCAUACAUCUCCUUCGCCGCCGGCUGGUACUUGCCAUACACACUCCUAACAAUCCCCGCCGCUGUUCCAACAACCCCCGCCUUCUGCACCUCCCCCGCAACGGAUCGAACCAACUCCGGCGCCUUCUGUGCCGAAGCAUACACCUCCUUCACCCGCUCCGGCACAUGGCGCUCCAGCCCGUGGAUGGAAUCCUCCACCUUGCGAUCGACGAAGGUG